rnacentral:rRNA from 1 species
GACGAACGCUGGCGGCGUGCUUAACACAUGCAAGUCGAACGAAGAGCGACGGAAGCUUGCUUCUAUCAAUCUUAGUGGCGAACUGGUGAGUAACGCGUAAUCAACCUGCCCUUCAGAGGGGGACAACAGUUGGAAACGACUGCUAAUACCGCAUACGAUCUAAUCUCGGCAUCGAGGAUGGAUGAAAGGUGGCCUCUACAUGUAAGCUAUCACUGAAGGAGGGGAUUGCGUCUGAUUAGCUAGUUGGAGGGGUAACGGCCCACCAAGGCGAUGAUCAGUAGCCGGUCUGAGAGGAUGAACGGCCACAUUGGGACUGAGACACGGCCCAGACUCCUACGGGAGGCAGCAGUGGGGAAUCUUCCGCAAUAGACGAAAGUCUGACGGAGCAACGCCGCGUGAGUGAUGACGGCCUUCGGGUUGUAAAGCUCUGUUAAUCGGGACGAAAGGCCUUCUUGCGAAUAGUGAGAAGGAUUGACGGUACCGGAAUAGAAAGCCACGGCUAACUACGUG